UUCUCCCCUAAACCCUAUCUCUCUCUCUCUCUCUCACACACACACACUUCCCAGCCGCAACCCACCCUUACAUUUCUCUCUUCCUCUCCCUCACGCUCACUCUCUCACUCACUCAUCACUCACUCAAUGGCGUGCAAGGGUUUUGGAAACAAGACGAACGACGGGUGAUCGUGGGUAUUAGGCAAACGGUGGGGACUUGGGGGCCGGUCAUGGGCAAACGGCGCAAAUGAUAGGGGCUCGGGGGUCUUGGGAAAACGGCGCAAAUGACGGUCGUGGGUGGCUCGGUCUCGCAGAGGGUUCGUGGGUGGCUCGGUCUCACAGAGAGGUCGUGGGUGGUGGCUCUCGCGAUGGGGUUUUGGCAGUUUCUCUCUGUGUUAACGUAGAAGAUGAAGAAUGAUAAAAUUGAUCGUUCCAUACAUUGAGAAGAAUACUUAAUGUUCUAAGGUCAUGCUCAAAAAUCUUGCCUUUGAAGAAAUUAGUUUUCACGUCUUCCAUUAUUACAAUUAUUUGCACUAGAGAACCAGUGGCACCAGAUGUGCUAGUUGAGGAGACAUGAGAGCUUCAUAUCCUGUUUUCAGUGAGAAAUCAAAUAAGGUGAGUACAUGUGUUUGACACUAGUACACCCCUAUAUAGGCGUGUUAAACAUGAUUAUGGACAGUAUUAAUUUAGGCGUGUCAAAUAUAAUAAUUGCAAUUCUUAUGUGAGCUAUAAUAUCCAUUAGAUUCUAUAUGUUGUUCAUAUUUGUGGUGCCAAGCCCUUGAUUUCUUAAAAAAAAAUUUGAACACAGUGGCCAAUAAAAAACUAGAGGAUCAAUAACCUUGAAUCUUUAACAAAUAAGCUAUCACAGUGGCCAAUCCUUAGUAGCUGUUGCUUAUGGUAUUAUGAGUAGAAGGCAAAGGUGGAGGAAGCUUUGAUGAUUGUGACUUUUUUGGGAGAGCUAUUUUGAAUAUGCGAGUAAAGUAGUACAAGUUCAUUCCUUUCGUUUAUUAGUUGAACAUUGUUAAAUUAUUGAAUAUAAUGUCUAGUUCAAAUGUUCAAUUACUUGAAAAUGAAAAGAUAUAUGCUCUGUUAUAUGGAGUUUUUGUGUUUUGUUUCUUGUUUCGUCAUACCUAAUCAUUUAUCUGUUUCAUUAUAUUUCUCUAGCUUUUUCUGUUUUUUUUCAUGAAGAUUAAUUACAAAUAGUUUUUAAAGGUGUUUUGGAAUUCUGAUAUACUUUUGUCCCUAUGAUUACAUUGCCAGGAUAGUUAUGCUUUGAGCUUAGUAGUAUAAGAACAAUAAUCAAAGUCUUAGAUAUUUGCAUAUGGUUUUUGCAAGUCUUCUUCUCUAGUUUGUGAUAUAAACACUGGUUUUGUUUUGUUGUUUAGUCUUUUUGGAUGAAUUUUAAUUCUCGAUUAGAUGAAAGAGAAGUAUGUAUGUUUACCUUGUCAUCUGUUGUUUAGUCUUUGUUGAGUGUGUGUGUCUAUGUUUUUGUUCAUGAUAAUCUAAGUUUGAUUUUGUAUUCUAAUUUUUUAUGAUGUUGGAAAAUAUAAUACUUAUUACUGUGUGUCAUUUUGUAAACUUGUCGUUGCAGAUCAGAUAUAGACAUGUUGAUUAUGCUCAAAUUUAUGGGAUGAUCAGAUUCUUCUUUCGUAAACUGCUCAAAUUUGUCCACUGUAUUCUUUAAAAGUAAAGGAAGUCUCAAUCUGAAAGUUACAAAAACUCAGGCUCGGGAUUCAUGCAACAAGACUGUAAGGCGUAUUCUUGUCAAAGGUGGAAGUCAUAUAUGAAUUUUGUUAUGAUUGUUCUUUAUUCAUUUUGAUGUUUAUUUGUUGUUUUUGGAUAGUUUGUUGUGUAAAUGAGUAUGUUUUGUAUAUGUGAGUUUGAUUUUGGACUAUCAAUAAAGAUGUAUUUUUAGA